GCCGAGGUGGCGGAACUGGUAUACGCAACGGACUUAAAAUCCGUGGCUCGCAAGAGCUUGUGGGUUCGAGCCCCACCCUCGGCA
rnacentral:tRNA from 1 species